rnacentral:tRNA from 1 species
GGGACCAUGGCGAAAUUGGUAGACGCGCUACCUUGAGGUGGUAGUGGAGCAAUCCAUAGGAGUUCGAGUCUCCUUGGUCCCACCA